rnacentral:rRNA from 1 species
CUACGGAGGGUGCAAGCGUUACUCGGAAUCACUGGGCGUAAAGCGCGCGCAGGCGGGCUGAUAAGUUGGAUGUGAAAGCCUACGGCUCAACCGUAGAACUGCAUCCAAAACUGUCAGUCUAGAGUCUGAGAGGGGAAGAUGGAAUUAGUUGUGUAGGGGUAAAAUCCGUAGAGAUAACUAGGAAUACCAAAAGCGAAGGGGAUCUUCUGGAACAGUACUGACGCUGAAGCGCGAAAGCGUGGGGAGCAAACAGAAUUAGAAACCCUAGUAGUCC